GGAUUAGUGGCGAACGGGUGAGUAACACGUGAGUAACCUGCCCUUGACUCUGGGAUAAGCGCUGGAAACGGCGUCUAAUACCGGAUACGACCUACCCCGGCAUCGGGUGUGGGUGGAAAGUUUUUCGGUCAAGGAUGGACUCGCGGCCUAUCAGCUUGUUGGUGAGGUAAUGGCUCACCAAGGCGACGACGGGUAGCCGGCCUGAGAGGGUGACCGGCCACACUGGGACUGAGACACGGCCCAGACUCCUACGGGAGGCAGCAGUGGGGAAUAUUGCACAAUGGGCGAAAGCCUGAUGCAGCAACGCCGCGUGAGGGAUGACGGCCUUCGGGUUGUAAACCUCUUUUAGUAGGGAAGAAGGGCUUCGGCUUGACGGUACCUGCAGAAAAAGCACCGGCUAACUACGUGCCAGCAGCCGCGGUAAUACGUAGGGUGCAAGCGUUGUCCGGAAUUAUUGGGCGUAAAGAGCUCGUAGGCGGUUUGUCGCGUCUGCUGUGAAAACCCGAGGCUCAACCUCGGGCCUGCAGUGGGUACGGGCAGACUAGAGUGCGGUAGGGGAGAAUGGAAUUCCUGGUGUAGCGGUGGAAUGCGCAGAUAUCAGGAGGAACACCGAUGGCGAAGGCAGUUCUCUGGGCCGUAACUGACGCUGAGGAGCGAAAGCGUGGGGAGCGAACAGGAUUAGAUACCCUGGUAGUCCACGCCGUAAACGUUGGGCGCUAGAUGUGGGGACCUUUCCACGGUUUCCGUGUCGCAGCUAACGCAUUAAGCGCCCCGCCUGGGGAGUACGGCCGCAAGGCUAAAACUCAAAGGAAUUGACGGGGGCCCGCACAAGCGGCGGAGCAUGCGGAUUAAUUCGAUGCAACGCGAAGAACCUUACCAAGGCUUGACAUAUACCGGAAACGGCCAGAAAUGGUCGCCCCGCAAGGUCGGUAUACAGGUGGUGCAUGGUUGUCGUCAGCUCGUGUCGUGAGAUGUUGGGUUAAGUCCCGCAACGAGCGCAACCCUCGUUCUAUGUUGCCAGCACGUCAUGGUGGGAACUCAUAGGAGACUGCCGGGGUCAACUCGGAGGAAGGUGGGGAUGACGUCAAAUCAUCAUGCCCCUUAUGUCUUGGGCUUCACGCAUGCUACAAUGGCCGGUACAAAGGGCUGCGAUACCGUAAGGUGGAGCGAAUCCCAAAAAGCCGGUCUCAGUUCGGAUUGAGGUCUGCAACUCGACCUCAUGAAGUCGGAGUCGCUAGUAAUCGCAGAUCAGCAACGCUGCGGUGAAUACGUUCCCGGGCCUUGUACACACCGCCCGUCAAGUCAUGAAAGUCGGUAACACCCGAAGCC
rnacentral:rRNA from 1 species